rnacentral:rRNA from 1 species
AUUGAACGCUGGCGGUAAGCNUAACACAUGCAAGUCGAGCGGCAACAGGAAGUCAAUAUUUUGGUGUUGACUUAGCUGGCGAGCGGNAAACGGGUGAGUAAAAUCUGGGAAUCUGCCCGAUGGAGGGGGACAACUGUUGGAAACGACAGCUAAUACCGCGUAAUAUCGAUAAGAUUAAAGUAGGGGACUCAUUUAUGAGCCUUAUGCCAUCGGANGAGCCCAGACAGGAUUAGCUAGUAGGUAAGGUAAUGGCUUACCUAGGCGACGAUCCUUAGCUGGUCUGAGAGGAUGAUCAGCCACACUGGAACUGAGAUACGGUCCAGACUCCUACGGGAGGCAGCAGUGGGGAAUAUUGCACAAUGGGGGGAACCCUGAUGCAGCUAUACCGUGUGUGUGAAGAAGGCCUUCGGGUUGUAAAGCACUUUCAAUGAGGANGAAUUUAAAAUUGCUAAUAUCGGNUUUAAUUGACGUUACUCAUAUAAGAAGCACCGGCUAACUCCGUGCCAGCAGCCGCGGUAAUACGGAGGGUGCAAGCGUUAAUCGGAAUUACUGGGCGUAAAGAGUACGUAGGUGGUUUAUUAAGUCAGAUGUGAAAUCCCUGAGCUUAACUUAGGAACUGCAUUUGAAACUGAUAGACUAGA